CCGUUUUCGGGGGGAACGCGAAGAACCUUACCAGGUCUUGACAUCCUCUGAAAACCCUAGAGAUAGGGCUUCUCCUUCGGGAGCAGAGUGACAGGUGGUGCAUGGUUGUCGUCAGCUCGUGUCGUGAGAUGUUGGGUUAAGUCCCGCAACGAGCGCAACCCUUGAUCUUAGUUGCCAUCAUUAAGUUGGGCACUCUAAGGUGACUGCCGGUGACAAACCGGAGGAAGGUGGGGAUGACGUCAAAUCAUCAUGCCCCUUAUGACCUGGGCUACACACGUGCUACAAUGGACGGUACAAAGAGCUGCAAGACCGCGAGGUGGAGCUAAUCUCAUAAAACCGUUCUCAGUUCGGAUUGUAGGCUGCAACUCGCCUACAUGAAGCUGGAAUCGCUAGUAAUCGCGAUCAGCAUGCCGGACUGAAU
rnacentral:rRNA from 1 species